UGGACAGAUUAUUGUAUUUGACUGUAUUCACGGCGUAAAACAGGGAAUUACACUGUUUUUAAACGAAAAGUGAAUCAAUUAACAUAAUAGACUCCU
rfam:Nicotiana attenuata strain TT chromosome 6, whole genome shotgun sequence.